GACGAACGCUGGCGGCGUGCUUAACACAUGCAAGUCGAACGGAAAGGCCCUGCUUUUGUGGGGUGCUCGAGUGGCGAACGGGUGAGUAACACGUGAGUAACCUGCCCUUGACUUUGGAUUACUUCAAGAAACUUGGGCUAAUACCGGAUAGGAGCUCCUGCUGCCUGGUGGGGGUUGGGAAGUUUCGGCGGUUGGGGAUGGACUCGCGGCUUAUCAGCUUGUUGGUGGGGUAGUGGCUUACCAAGGCUUUGACGGGUAGCCGGCCUGAGAGGGUGACCGGCCACAUUGGGACUGAGAUACGGCCCAGACUCCUACGGGAGGCAGCAGUGGGGAAUAUUGCACAAUGGGCGGAAGCCUGAUGCAGCAACGCCGCGUGCGGGAUGACGGCCUUCGGGUUGUAAACCGCUUUCGCCUGUGACGAAGCGUGAGUGACGGUAAUGGGUAAAGAAGCACCGGCUAACUACGUG
rnacentral:rRNA from 1 species